rnacentral:rRNA from 1 species
AGGUGCGAUCAUACCAGCACUAAUCCUCCGGAUUCCAUCAGAACACCGAAUUUAAUCAUGCUUGGGCUAGAGUAUAUUAGGAUGGAUGACCUGUUGGGAUGUCCUCGUGUUGCACCCC